rnacentral:rRNA from 1 species
UUGAUCAUGGCUCAGGACGAACGCUGGCGGCGUGCUUAACACAUGCAAGUCGAACGGAAAGGCCUCUUCGGAGGUACUCGAGUGGCGAACGGGUGAGUAACACGUGGGUGAUCUGCCCUGCACUCUGGGAUAAGCCUGGGAAACUGGGUCUAAUACCGGAUAGGACCAUGCUUUAGUGUGUGUGGUGGAAAGUUUUUUUCGGUGUAGGAUGAGCCCGCGGCCUAUCAGCUUGUUGGUGGGGUAAUGGCCUACCAAGGCGGCGACGGGUAGCCGGACUGAGAGGUUGGUCGGCCACAUUGGGACUGAGAUACGGCCCAGACUCCUACGGGAGGCAGCAGUGGGGAAUAUUGCACAAUGGGCGCAAGCCUGAUGCAGCGACGCCGCGUGGGGGAUGACGGCCUUCGGGUUGUAAACUCCUUUCGCCAGGGACGAAGCGUUUUGUGACGGUACCUGGAGAAGAAGCACCGGCUAACUACGUGCCAGCAGCCGCGGUAAUACGUAGGGUGCAAGCGUUGUCCGGAAUUACUGGGCGUAAAGAGCUCGUAGGUGGUUUGUCACGUCGUCUGUGAAAUUCCACAGCUUAACUGUGG